rnacentral:rRNA from 1 species
AGUGAACGCUGGCGGUAGGCCUAACACAUGCAAGUCGAACGGCAGCACAGUAAGAGCUUGCUCUUACGGGUGGCGAGUGGCGGACGGGUGAGGUAUACAUCGGAAUCUACUUUUUCGUGGGGGAUAACGUAGGGAAACUUACGCUAAUACCGCAUACGACCUACGGGUGAAAGCAUGGGAUCUUCGGACCUUGCGCGAUUGAAUGAGCCGAUGUCGCAUUAGCUAGUUGGCGGGGGAAAGGCCCACCAAGGCGACGAUCCGUAGCUGGUCUGAGAGGAUGAUCAGCCACACUGGAACUGAGACACGGUCCAGACUCCUACGGGAGGCAGCAGUGGGGAAUAUUGGACAAUGGGCGCAAGCCUGAUCCAGCCAUACCGCGUGGGUGAAGAAGGACUUCGGGUUGUAAAGCCCUUUUGUUGGGAAAGAAAAGCAGCAGGUUAAUACCCCGCUGUUCUGACGGUACCCACAGAAUAAGCACCGGCUAACUUCGUG